UUGACCUCGGUCCAGGACAGGACU
rnacentral:rRNA from 1 species